UACGGGGGGGUAAGCGUUGUUCGGAAUUACUGGGCGUAAAGGGCUCGUAGGCGGCCAACUAAGUCAUACGUGAAAUCCCUCAGCUUAACUGGGGAACUGCGUGUGAUACUGGAUGGCUUGGAUUUGGGAGAGGGAUGCGGAAUUCCAGGUGUAGCGGUGAAAUGCGUAGAUAUCUGGAGGAACACCGGUGGCGAAGGCGGCAUCCUGGACCAAUAUUGACGCUGAGGAGCGAAAGCCAGGGGAGCAA
rnacentral:rRNA from 1 species